GACGAACGCUGGCGGCGUGCUUAACACAUGCAAGUCGAACGGUAAGGCCCUUCGGGGUACACGAGUGGCGAACGGGUGAGUAACACGUGGGUGAUCUGCCCUGCACUUCGGGAUAAGCCUGGGAAACUGGGUCUAAUACCGGAUAGGACCACUGCCUGCAUGGGUGGUGGAAAGCUUUUGCGGUGUGGGAUGGGCCUGCGGCCUAUCAGCUUGUUGGUGGGGUGAUGGCCUACCAAGGCGACGACGGGUAGCCUGCCGGAGAGGGUGACCGUCCACACUGGGAAUGAGAAAAGGCCCAGACUCCUACGGGGGGCAGCAGUGGGGAAUAUUGCACAAUGGGCGCAAGCCUGAUGCAGCGACGCCGCGUGGGGGAUGGCGGCGUUCGGGUUGUAAACCUCUUUCAGCAUCGACGAAGCGAAAGUGACGGUAGGUGCAGAAGAAGGACCGGCCAACUACGUGCCAGCCGCCGCAGUAA
rnacentral:rRNA from 1 species